rnacentral:rRNA from 1 species
GGAAUUUUGGGCAAUGGGCGAAAGCCUGACCCAGCAACGCCGCGUGAGGGAUGAAGGCCUUCGGGUCGUAAACCUCUGUCGGGAGGGAAGAACGGUGGCCGUUCGAAUAGGGCGGUAGCCUGACGGUACCUCCAAAGGAAGCACCGGCUAACUCCGUGCCAGCAGCCGCGGUAAUACGGAGGGUGCAAGCGUUGUUCGGAAUCAUUGGGCGUAAAGCGCGUGUAGGCGGCUUGGCAAGUCGGUUGUGAAAGCCCGGGGCCCAACCCCGGAAUUGCAGCCGAUACUGCCUGGCUAGAGUCCCGGAGAGGAAGGCAGAAUUCCCGGUGUAGGGGUGAAAUCCGUAGAUAUCGGGAGGAAUACCGGUGGCGAAGGCGGCCUUCUGGACGGUGACUGACGCUGAGACGCGAAAGCGUGGGGAGCAAAC